AAAAAAAAAGUUCUUUCAAGAGUUUGCACAGGUUCUUGGACAUGACCUUGCUUUUCUCCAUCUUCUCCUUCUAGUUCUUGGGAAACUCCAGGCUCUCCAUGCUCAUGGAGACUGGGCCAUUCCCACUGGAAUCCUUGAGUUUCAGCACACGGCACUUGUCCUGAGGAUCUGUCAAAUGCACCACCUCAAGGUCCUGCUUCCACACACCAAGGUUAAAUUGGCCACCUGCUCUUUGCUCCCACCAGUGACACAGUAGGUGUGCUUCUGAGUCUCCUCCAUGAGAGAGACACAGUGACAAAGAUGUCUUCUCAUUUAUAGAAAGGCGUCCCUGAUUGGUGGAGUCCUGAUGGAUACCAAACUCCAAAUUCUCUUGUAGUUCUCCUUGUCUUGCCAGGUCAGAAGAGAGCUCAGGACACUUGUCACAAUGCUUUUGCCAAUGACCUUCAAGAUUUUGCUCAGCUGGCGCACUUCUUGGGAGUUGUUCAGGGAGAGGUCAAAGGGAGCCCACUAAGAGAUGAAGAGCAAUGCCUUGAAUUCCAGCUGGCUUCUGCAGAGGAGUGGUUGACACCAAGUGGUCUUCCCCAGGCAUUGGAGUCAGAUGGCGAAUCUCAGGUUAUUCUAAUUUCCUUAUCUCGUACGUGAUUAUUCACCUCCGUGUCUUUUUGUUUAGCUGUCUGGUUUCCUUGACUUUCUCUUUCGACCACUUUCUCAUAUUUUCAAUUUCUUGUUUCC
rnacentral:lncRNA from 1 species